AUGUGGUCUUUCUGCCAGGUGAAGGCGCCAUUGCACCCUUCUCUCGGACUGGCCGAAGUGGCGUGGAGGAUACUGUGCUCCGGAUGCCUUUUAGCAGGCCUGGGAGGUUGUGCCAUGCUCUUAAAGAAGAGCCUGGGGCGCAGUGGAAAGGCGAUGGGGCUUUGCUCAGAAUCGGUGGCAGAUCAGAAAAACACACAUUUUUCGUGGGUCUCGAAGGAGCCGUCCCUACCAGGCGGAGGAGUCUCCCUGGCCCGGGCCCUUACAGACAGCCUGCUGCUCUGUGUUCUCCAGGAGUCCCUCUCCCACCCCACCCUGCCCCACGUAGAGGCUCUCCUGGCCAGGCUCAAGAGGGUGUCCCGGGCCCUUCAGGGGGCUGAAGGUCUCCCAGCGGCCGGGUCGGACUGUGAGGCCCUCGCGCUGGUAGAGAGAGUGAAGGCCCUCAACACAUACCUGCAUCAGAGGACAAGGACGCUUGGCGGUCUGGUACGGGCGCAGGGGGAGUUUGAGGCGGACGUGGAGGGCCUGCUGGGGGGUCUGGAGCUCCUCUGGACCCAGCUGGAGGAGCUCCACACCAGGGUCACGCUCACCAAGGACUGGAGCCAGGGCCAGGGGGAUCUGGCCAGCACCAAGGCUGAGGCAGAGGUACCCAUCGGGGACCGUGGAACGGGGCGGGAGGGAGGGGCGGGGGGGGAGGUUGAGAUCCCUGUUGAGUUCUGUUUAAAGAUUGUGUUGGUUUAUCACAGGGUCAGACAAGACACAAGACACAAGAUACAAGAUCGUUUAUUGUCAUAUACACAAUGGAAACAUAGUUUACACUGGGCAAUGAAAUUCUUAAUUUGCAAGUUCCCUUCACACAAAAUAUGCUUAAAGUAAAAGUAGAUAAAUAAACUAAACUACUAAAAGAAGGAGAAGAAUUUAGUUAAACAUAAACAGUUGAACAUAAGGUGCUGUUAACUUGUACAAUGUUCGCAUACAGCAGAAGGCCCUGAGAGACAUUGAAAUAUAGACGUUUUGGAAUAUAUAAAUUGGAUGUUGAAUAUUAUUAGUAGAUAAACAUACUGCCAUGGCAACAUACUGCCAUGGCUUUAUUUCACCUUGUACUGAGCUAGCUGAUUCCAUUAGUCCACUUUAACUUGCUAGGAGGUACUGGCCUAACCAGUCCUAAUUAGUCAGAAUUAGUUGAUUGCGUUCCCCUGUUUUCCUCUGUCAGGU
rnacentral:lncRNA from 1 species